rnacentral:rRNA from 1 species
GCGGGAAGAGCUCAAAUUUAUAAUCUGGCACCUUCGGUGUCCGAGUUGUAAUCUCUAGAAAUGUUUUCCGCGUUGGACCGCACACAAGUCUGUUGGAAUACAGCGGCAUAGUGGUGAGACCCCCGUAUAUGGUGCGGACGCCCAGCGCUUUGUGAUACAUUUUCGAAGAGUCGAGUUGUUUGGGAAUGCASCUCAAAUUGGGUGGUAAAUUCCAUCUAAAGCUAAAUAUUGGCGAGAGACCGAUAGCGAACAAGUACCGUGAGGGAAAGAUGAAAAGCACUUUGGAAAGAGAGUUAACAGUACGUGAAAUUGUUGGAAGGGAAACGCUUGAAGUCAGACUUGCUUGCCGAGCAAUCGGUUUGCAGGCCAGCAUCAGUUUUCCGGGAUGGAUAAUGGUAGAGAGAAGGUAGCAGUUUCGGCUGUGUUAUAGCUCUCUGCUGGAUACAUCUUGGGGGACUGAGGAACGCAGUGUGCCUUUUGGCGGGGGUUUCGACCUCUUCACACUUAGGAUGCUGGUGGAAUGGCUUUAAACGACCCGUCUU